GCUUACGAUCAUACCAUGAUGAGAACACCGUAUCCCGUCCGAUCUGCGAAGUUAAGCAUCAUUGGGCUUCUUUAGUACUCAGGUGGGUGACCACUGGGGAACUGGAUAGUGUUGUAAGCA
rnacentral:rRNA from 1 species